GGGUUGUGAGGUUAAGCGACUAAGCGUACACGGUGGAUGCCCUGGCAGUCAGAGGCGAUGAAGGACGUGCUAAUCUGCGAUAAGCGUCGGUAAGGUGAUAUGAACCGUUAUAACCGGCGAUUUCCGAAUGGGGAAACCCAGUGUGAUUCGUCACACUAUCAUUAACUGAAUCCAUAGGUUAAUGAGGCGAACCGGGGGAACUGAAACAUCUAAGUACCCCGAGGAAAAGAAAUCAACCGAGAUUCCCCCAGUAGCGGCGAGCGAACGGGGAGCAGCCCAGAGCCUGAAUCAGUGUGUGUGUUAGUGGAAGCGUCUGGAAAGGCGCGCGAUACAGGGUGACAGCCCCGUACACAAAAAUGCACAUGCUGUGAGCUCGAUGAGUAGGGCGGGACACGUGGUAUCCUGUCUGAAUAUGGGGGGACCAUCCUCCAAGGCUAAAUACUCCUGACUGACCGAUAGUGAACCAGUACCGUGAGGGAAAGGCGAAAAGAACCCCGGCGAGGGGAGUGAAAAAGAACCUGAAACCGUGUACGUACAAGCAGUGGGAGCACGCUUAGGCGUGUGACUGCGUACCUUUUGUAUAAUGGGUCAGCGACUUAUAUUCUGUAGCAAGGUUAACCGAAUAGGGGAGCCGAAGGGAAACCGAGUCUUAACUGGGCGUUAAGUUGCAGGGUAUAGACCCGAAACCCGGUGAUCUAGCCAUGGGCAGGUUGAAGGUUGGGUAACACUAACUGGAGGACCGAACCGACUAAUGUUGAAAAAUUAGCGGAUGACUUGUGGCUGGGGGUGAAAGGCCAAUCAAACCGGGAGAUAGCUGGUUCUCCCCGAAAGCUAUUUAGGUAGCGCCUCGUGAAUUCAUCUCCGGGGGUAGAGCACUGUUUCGGCAAGGGGGUCAUCCCGACUUACCAACCCGAUGCAAACUGCGAAUACCGGAGAAUGUUAUCACGGGAGACACACGGCGGGUGCUAACGUCCGUCGUGAAGAGGGAAACAACCCAGACCGCCAGCUAAGGUCCCAAAGUCAUGGUUAAGUGGGAAACGAUGUGGGAAGGCCCAGACAGCCAGGAUGUUGGCUUAGAAGCAGCCAUCAUUUAAAGAAAGCGUAAUAGCUCACUGGUCGAGUCGGCCUGCGCGGAAGAUGUAACGGGGCUAAACCAUGCACCGAAGCUGCGGCAGCGACGCUGAUGCGUUGUUGGGUAGGGGAGCGUUCUGUAAGCCUGCGAAGGUGUGCUGUGAGGCAUGCUGGAGGUAUCAGAAGUGCGAAUGCUGACAUAAGUAACGAUAAAGCGGGUGAAAAGCCCGCUCGCCGGAAGACCAAGGGUUCCUGUCCAACGUUAAUCGGGGCAGGGUGAGUCGACCCCUAAGGCGAGGCCGAAAGGCGUAGUCGAUGGGAAACAGGUUAAUAUUCCUGUACUUGGUGUUACUGCGAAGGGGGGACGGAGAAGGCUAUGUUGGCCGGGCGACGGUUGUCCCGGUUUAAGCGUGUAGGCUGGUUUUCCAGGCAAAUCCGGAAAAUCAAGGCUGAGGCGUGAUGACGAGGCACUACGGUGCUGAAGCAACAAAUGCCCUGCUUCCAGGAAAAGCCUCUAAGCAUCAGGUAACAUCAAAUCGUACCCCAAACCGACACAGGUGGUCAGGUAGAGAAUACCAAGGCGCUUGAGAGAACUCGGGUGAAGGAACUAGGCAAAAUGGUGCCGUAACUUCGGGAGAAGGCACGCUGAUAUGUAGGUGAAGCGACUUGCUCGUGGAGCUGAAAUCAGUCGAAGAUACCAGCUGGCUGCAACUGUUUAUUAAAAACACAGCACUGUGCAAACACGAAAGUGGACGUAUACGGUGUGACGCCUGCCCGGUGCCGGAAGGUUAAUUGAUGGGGUUAGCGCAAGCGAAGCUCUUGAUCGAAGCCCCGGUAAACGGCGGCCGUAACUAUAACGGUCCUAAGGUAGCGAAAUUCCUUGUCGGGUAAGUUCCGACCUGCACGAAUGGCGUAAUGAUGGCCAGGCUGUCUCCACCCGAGACUCAGUGAAAUUGAACUCGCUGUGAAGAUGCAGUGUACCCGCGGCAAGACGGAAAGACCCCGUGAACCUUUACUAUAGCUUGACACUGAACAUUGAGCCUUGAUGUGUAGGAUAGGUGGGAGGCUUUGAAGUGUGGACGCCAGUCUGCAUGGAGCCGACCUUGAAAUACCACCCUUUAAUGUUUGAUGUUCUAACGUUGACCCGUAAUCCGGGUUGCGGACAGUGUCUGGUGGGUAGUUUGACUGGGGCGGUCUCCUCCUAAAGAGUAACGGAGGAGCACGAAGGUUGGCUAAUCCUGGUCGGACAUCAGGAGGUUAGUGCAAUGGCAUAAGCCAGCUUGACUGCGAGCGUGACGGCGCGAGCAGGUGCGAAAGCAGGUCAUAGUGAUCCGGUGGUUCUGAAUGGAAGGGCCAUCGCUCAACGGAUAAAAGGUACUCCGGGGAUAACAGGCUGAUACCGCCCAAGAGUUCAUAUCGACGGCGGUGUUUGGCACCUCGAUGUCGGCUCAUCACAUCCUGGGGCUGAAGUAGGUCCCAAGGGUAUGGCUGUUCGCCAUUUAAAGUGGUACGCGAGCUGGGUUUAGAACGUCGUGAGACAGUUCGGUCCCUAUCUGCCGUGGGCGCUGGAGAACUGAGGGGGGCUGCUCCUAGUACGAGAGGACCGGAGUGGACGCAUCACUGGUGUUCGGGUUGUCAUGCCAAUGGCACUGCCCGGUAGCUAAAUGCGGAAGAGAUAAGUGCUGAAAGCAUCUAAGCACGAAACUUGCCCCGAGAUGAGUUCUCCCUGACUCCUUGAGAGUCCUGAAGGAACGUUGAAGACGACGACGUUGAUAGGCCGGGUGUGUAAGCGCAGCGAUGCGUUGAGCUAACCGGUACUAAUGAACCGUGAGGCUUAACCUUACAACGCCGAAGCUGUU
rnacentral:rRNA from 1 species